AGCAGCCGCGGUAAUUCCAGCUCCAAUAGCGUAUAUUAAAGUUGUUGCAGUUAAAAAGCUCGUAGUUGAAUUUCGGGGUCAGUGGGUCGGUCGUGCCAAUGGUAUGUACUGGCCCUACUGAUUCCUCCUUCUUGAAGAACUGUAAUGCCAUUAAUUUGGUGUUGCAGGGAAACAGGACUGUUACUUUGAAAAAAUUAGAGUGUUUAAAGCAGGCAAUCGCUUGAAUACAUUAGCAUGGAAUAAUGAAAUAGGACGUUCGAUCCUAUUUUGUUGGUUUCUAGGAUUGACGUAAUGAUUAAUAGGGAUAGUUGGGGGCAUUAGUAUUCAAUUGUCAGAGGUGAAAUUCUUGGAUUUAUUGAAGACUAACUACUGCGAAAGCAUUUGCCAAGGAUGUUUUCGUUAAUCAAGAACGAAAGUUAGGGGAUCGAAGACGAUCAGAUACCGUCGUAGUCUUAACCAUAAACUAUGCCGACUAGGGAUCGGAUGAUGUUAAUUUUUUAAUGACUCA
rnacentral:rRNA from 1 species